AUCUUUUUUAGCCACACUAAUCCGCUUUCGUACCUAACUUAGCACUGUAAAUUAAGAAGGUACUUAAAACUGUUUUAUCUUCAGACGCCCCUUUAUAGUUUGUACUCAUAUUUGUUCACUAGCGCACAUAUUAGUUCGGUCUGUCAGAACUGUCUCAUAAAGCCUCUUCGUGCACUGUAAAAACUGAUAGGUUAAAUUGACAAGAAACAGGUUAUUUGCAUUGAUUGAGGACAAG